rnacentral:misc_RNA from 1 species
CGGUUCUUCUUGAAUCGGGUUGUCAUUUUGACCUCUUUGGUUAAAGACGGUGUUUGAGCGGCUACGAGAAAUGGAGGAUCUGCUAAAACAAAGGCAUUAGGGUUUUUAAAGAUUUAUAGGGAAGCACUUGGCAGGAAGAAUCUCUCUCGGUUGCAGCAAAACCUAGCUAAAAGCUCUGUCUCUUUGGAGUUGGGCCGGACCUGGAUUUUGUUCUG